rnacentral:rRNA from 1 species
UACAGAGGCCUCAAGCGUUGUUCGGAAUCACUGGGCGUAAAGGGUGCGUAGGCGGCGCGGAAAGUCAGGGGUGAAACCCCGGAGCUCAACUCCGGAACUGCCCUUGAUACUCCCGCGCUUGAGAACUGGAGGGGACAUCGGAAUUCACGGUGGAGCAGUGAAAUGCGUGGAUAUCGUGAGGACACUAGUGGCGAAGGCGGAUGUCUGGACAGUAUCUGACGCUGAGGCACGAAGGCCGGGGAGCGAACAGG